AUUACCAUAUGUUGAACAAAGAACCCAACCUUUCAUGCAAGGACAAAGGAUAAAUAUAUUUUGUACCUUUUUGUUUGUGACAUGAUAGAGGAUGGGAGGGUGAUGUUGAAGAAAGUUGACCCUUAUUGGAAUGCCGUAGAUGUGUUGAGAAAGCAAGUCAACACAAAGAAGUUCAAGUGGUGAAGUAAGUCUAUGGGUCUCUUAGCCCUUAGCAAAUAAUUAAUGGUGUUGGUAUUCCCUUUGCUUUUGCAAGGUGUUUGAUAAGUGGAAGAAUGUUAAGAAACGUGUCUCAGUCUUGAUCCUAAUGUUAAGAAUAAAUAAUACAAAUUUUGAGCUAUAGAAUAAAUAAGUUCAAAUUUUAGGGCUUUAGAGGUUGAUUUUGGCUCCAAAUUUAUUGAAAUGGGCUUUAAUUGGGGAAAUUAGAUUAUGAUGACAUUGGCCUCUUCUAGAUCUAUAAUUAAAAGAAAUUGGGCUUAACCGUCUGCCCAAAUAAAAAGUUAUGGCCUUUGAAAGCUAGGCUUCCCACAUCGAAAAUAUAAGAGCAUCUAUGGUGCACAAGAGUGCUAUAUGAGGUCAAAUUACACUUGUUGAUUGACCUAGACACACGUUAUGAAACAUCAUAAGAUGUCUUCCAAUAGUGAUAUUGGAGGCAAAAUGGACUCAAGUUGUUGAAUUGACUAUGACAAUUUGUAGAACGAAUAUGCUAUUUUUUAGCCUAUAGACUCAUCUUGGAAUUUAGGCAAUGGAUUUUUUAUUAGAGAUUUAGGUACUGCAAUUUGGAUGGUUUUGGCUCAUGGUUUCCUAAUUACAGUGUUAUGGUUUUUACUUUUUAGUAUUGAUUCUUUUAUUUAUUGGGUUCUUGAGAUGGAGAUUUCAUAGAGAGUUUUGUAGGUACCGUUUUGUUGCAAAAUUACUCCAAAUCUCUAAUUGAUGAUUCUUCUAUAAAGCUUUAGUCUCUACAAGUGUUUUGUAAUCAUUGAUUAGUGAGUUAUACAUGGAUUUGCUUUCAAGUAGGGUUUUUCUUUCAAAAUAUUUUUCUUCCAAUAAAUUGUUAUAUUAUGAUAUUUUGCUUUUAUGUUUAUAUUAUUGUAACUAUAUGAUCAAUUUAAUUUUUGCCUAUAUCUUUAUAUUUAAGUUAGUGUCAGAAGCAUAUUUUGCACCUCUACUUCCUUUCAAAAGUGUAGAAAAGAAAACGUGUUGAUUACUGCAUGAAAAUUAUUGUCAACCUCAGCUAUGGAGUUGUAACCUCAAGAAUGCCAAUUACCAUUAAAAUUUCCUUUGAAAACAUCAUUCCUGGUUGCAAAGGAAAUUUUUUUAUCACCUCAUCAAGUAAAAAAAUAUGGUCAAAAUAUCCAUCUCAGACGGUCCUCUUUUGUGCUAUAUUCUCAUUAUCUUUCCAUGUGUAGUGUGCAAGUUGGGGAUCAAAUUUGUCUUUAUAAGAAAUGCAAUGCUUUAAGAAAGUAGGAAACUGCGUCUCAUUCAGUUUAUCAAUAUCCACUGUUUACUUCGGACUGUCUUUAUCAAAUGGUGUUUAAUUGGUUAACAAAGAUUUUUUUAGCACUACGAAUCCCAUUAAUUUCUUAUAGUUCAUUUCAAGCUUUAAUCUGACUAUAUUAGAAUUCAACUCAUUCAUAUUCUAAUUUAAAACUCUCCACAAAUAUCAUAUUCAAUAUGGUUUAUCUUAUCGUGCAUGUUUGUUGGUUGAUAAUUUCUAUUUGGAUACAUUAUAUUUCUCAAUUCUGUAAGCCUUGAAAUGCAAUAUCUCAUUUUUUUGUUGUUGCUUUCAUUUUUAGAUAAUUCUAUUCUUUGGGAGACCAAAUUAAGAUGGCUUAACUUCUAAUGAAUUGGAUGUAUUUUAAAUGAAACAGGGUGUUGAAUUUUCUGCAAAUGAAUAUUUCAUGGAUGCAAGCUUUGUUCUUCCAAUAACUGUGUUGUGUAUGCAUUGCAUGCAUAAAUUAUUUGUAAGGACUGGCUGGGAGACUUGCUUGUCACCUAAGCUGUGAGGUUUGUUGUUUGCCUCAUUUAUUGUACUAAAUCUGCAUUUUUUAUUUAUUUUUGUUUAAUUAGUGUAGAAUAUUUAGAAUCUUCACUGUUAAAUUACUUUGUUUCUUGGAUCAAACGCACAGUUAUAGUAAGCAUGCAUAUGCUUGGUAAUUUGAAUGAUUAUCUACUAUGUAGAUGCUAUACUUUGAAUAUAGAAUUGCAGGAAUCAUUUCAAUAAAGUUUCAUUAACUUUCAAGAUAUGAAUUUUUGUAGUCGUUUUAAACUUGACCUUCUUACUCUGCUCCAUUGAAGCGGACACAAGUGUCAUCAAUCCUGUUCUAUGCAAGUUUUUCUAGCUCCAAUGGGAACUUCUAUCUCUAUGGUUGCUGCACUCUUUGGGAGACAUUGCGUCGCUAUUGUCAACACAAUGUAUUGGUUUGUAACAUUUCUUCUUGUAAAUAAUAUUUGCUUGCAUGAAUUUGUUACUAGAAACUUUAUAUGUUAAAAUUUAUCACCUAUCAUUUGGAAUAUAGUUUAACCAAGUCUUCAGUGUGAGAAUGUCUUAUUUUAUGCAUGUUUCCAAUAGAGGUCUAUAAGUGAUAUGAAUUCCUGGAUAUGAAACUUGUAUUCUAUUGGGAAGUAUCAAUUCCAUGGUUAAAUGGCUAUCCAUCUCUGAACAGAUGUUAUGAUGGAAUGUGUAUUUUUUUUAUUUUGGCUACCUUUACCUAUUUGUUUUUUCUUUGAGUUUUUGUGAGUACAGAUGAGAUUUGCUUGGCUGAAUAUAGCAGGAACCGGACAGAAAUCUCUUAAGGGUCUUUGAUAUUUUGAAAAUCUUCAUGGUUAAGAAACUAGUGAAAUAUCUAAGGACCUUAUCGAUAAAUUAACUUUCUUGCUGGGAAUAAUGAUAAAUUUGUGUUCUUAUUAACCCUAACAAUGUUUGCCCCCAUACUUGUAAUAUCAAGUCUCAUGAUGGUAUUUGGCGCCAGUCAAUUGAGAAAUUAGAUAGGGAGCUUCUUAAGUCUCCUUUAUUUUUGGAUGCUCCAUUACUUAUGGAUUUUAAGAAAAAACAACAGGUUGUUGGCUCUGUCCCUAAAUCCCUUAAUAAAGAUAGUUUGUCGGUAGGACCUUCGAUUGAAGGAUGUGGAAAUGUCUCUUCGCAUAAAUUGGUAGAAACAAGUCACAUUCAUCUUGAAAACAAUCCAUUGUGUCAUAGUUUUGGGAAACCAAAUGAUCACACUUCGGGUUCGGUCUCACUUUCGUCUUUUCUAAAGACAUUUUCUAAUAACGGGGGUAUAGUGAUGGAUGAUAAUCCCUUGAUAAAUGGAGUAGAUCAUUCAUUGACAAUAGAUUUCCCUAAGAUGCCAAAUAAUCACAUAAAGGCUAAGGACGACAAUUUGUCUUCAUGCACUCAUAAGGAGGUUUUGGAUUCUUCAAAGAAUGUGAAUUUAGAUAAAAAUGCAGUGGUUGAUAUGGAAACUAUUAAACAAGUACCUACCAUAGGUUUUCCUAAUGAUGCUUCUUUAGUUUAGGAAAUUAAGAAUUUGGUGUCUAAUAAUUCCCCUCUGAAUGUUGCAAUUAAUAUGGCUAAUGAAUCUUCCUUAGGGAAUAGUAAUCCAUCAGAGGUUGUCCCUGUUAUUAUGCCAGAUGAGAAUCUGGUUCAGCAAGUAAAUGAUAUUUUUAACAAUCAUGCACAUCAGAUGGAUGAGGGUAUUAUUGAUAGAGUUUUUUGUUCAAUUGAGAUUGAUUUGGGGGGUAUAAACUUGACCCUUCCAAUUUCUGAAUCUGCUAAUCCUUUUGCAGUUUUGGCUACAACAGAGUUGGGUUUUGAAGAUAAUCCAAUUAUCCUGGCUUCUCCAAAGUCAUGCAAGAGUUUACCAAUUGUCCAAACAACUUUGGUUUUUUCACCAUCAGUGGUUUCUCUUGGGAGAGGUAGGCCUCCAAAUAAUCUUAAGACUCAAAUGGAAAUUGAUGCUGGAAUUCAAAAGACUUUGUCCCUUUCUCCUGCUAGUGGGCAAGGGAGGCAUUUGGUCUCUCUUGGUAGGCCUAAGAAAACAUGCCUAACUCUUGUAAGUGUAAAAAGAAAGAGGAGUAAAAGAUCUGUGACUAGUCCUCCUAUGACAAGGUCAGGGGCUGUGAAAUGUAAUUUGCAAGGUUGCUUUGGGGAAAGCAAAAAUUCUCCGAUUAAUGGGAAGAGGGGAGCUUCGGCCUCCCCUCGAGGACAAUGAGAAUUAUUUCUUGGAAUGUUAGGGGCUUAAAUGCCUCUAACAAGAGACGCUUCAUUAAGUUCCAAAUGGACUUAAUUAAGUGUGAUAUUUUUAUGUUGCAAGAAACAAAGUUGUCAAAGGAGUCUGCUGAUUUGGUUUUUUCAUCUUGGAGGUGGAAUUUUCUUUCUUCUCCUUCUUGUGGUGCUUCAGGAGGUUUGGCACUGCUUUGGAAUAAUUAUAAUAUUGAGGUACAGUUAGUGGCAUCUGCUACAAAUUGGAUGUUGACUUUAGUUAUAAGCAAGAUUUUGAAGGUUAAAUUCUAGCUUUUUAACGUUUAUACUCCAUCAGGAAUUCAAGGGAAGAGUAAGUUAUGGGGUGAAUUAAAGAAUUUUUCUUCUCCCUUAAGACAUGGUUCCUUUAUUAUCUUCGGGGGUGAUUUUAAUGCUAUCACUGAUUUAGAUGAGAAAAGAGGAGGUGUUUUCCCUUAUAAAAAGAUUAUGGAUGGCUUUGUGGAUUUCAUUUUUGAUAUGAGCCUUUUUUAUUGUAAGUCUCAGAAUAGGGUUUUCACAUGGACAAACAUGAGAAGGGAUUUUUCUCAGAUUGCCGAGAGAUUAGAUCAGUUUUUGUUAUCUGAGAAUUGGAUUGAUUCAGAUUUUGAAUUCUUUUCCUCUAUUCUACUAGUCUCGGCUUCUGAUCAUUUUCCAAUUUUCCUUUCAGUUAUUGAGGAUAGGGCUUCUUUUAAGUCUCCAUUUAAAUUUGAGCCCAUGUGGUUUAGAGAUUGUUCCUUUUUCCCUCUACUUAUGAAAUGGUGGAAUUCUACUCCUUUCUGUUUUGGGUCCCGUAUGUUUUGGAUUUCUAAGAAGUUAAAAAUUUGAAAUUGAAUAUUAGGGAAUGGAAUAUCUCACAUUUUAAGAACAUUUUUUCAGGAGAAACAAAGGAUUCAAGAUAUGAUUGAGUGUCUUGAUACUCAUGUGCUUCAACAUGGUAUGGUGCCACAAGUUUUUGAUGAAUUGAAGUCACUAAAAUUACAGCUUGAGGAGAUGUUAGCUAGAGAGGAAAUCUAUUGGAGACAUAAAUCUAGAGAGUUAUGGAUUUCAGAUGGUGACAGGAACACAAAAUUUUUUCAUUCUUCAACUAAGAUUAAAAGAUGUAAGAAUAGGAUAUCUUGUAUUUAGUGUCAGAAUGGGAAUUUAUUGACAAAGCCGAAGGAUAUUGCUUCAGAGGUAGUUAGGUUUUUUAGGUCAUUAUUAUCUUUGGAAAAUUGAAGUCUCAGCAAUGAUAUUAUAUCUAAUAUUCCUCGUUUAGUAUCUUUAGAAGACAAUAAGAUGUUGAUGUCUCCCUUUUCCUUAGAAUAAGUUAAGAGUGUUGUUUUUGCCAUGAAUCCGAAUAAAGCUUUGGGACCAAAUGGUUUUACCCCUUUAUUUUUUCAAAAAUGUUGGGAUUUUGUGGGCAAUGAUGUUUUAUUGGCUCUCGAGGAAGCUAGGAGAAAUAGGUCUAUUUUAAAAGAAUGUAAUACUACAAUGAUUGCAAUUAUUCCUAAAAAAGAGGAUACUAAGACUUUUUCUUACUUCCGCCCCAUUGCUUUAUGUAACACUUUGUAUAAGAUAUUUACGAAGGCAAUUUCCCUUAGGUUGGCAAAAAUUCUACCUACGAUCAUUUCAUUGGAGCAAGCUAGUUUUGUUCCUGAAAGGGAGAUGACAGAGGGUGUAAUUGUAGUACAUGAGGUGUUUCAUUCUAUUUCCACCCAAAGAACCCCGACCAUGAUACUUAAACUAGACAUGAUGAAGGCUUAUAAUAGAGUAGAUUGGGGGGCUUUAUGUGUUGUUCUUGAGAGGUUAGGUCUUUCCAAAGCCUGGGUCAAAUGGAUUUAUGCAUGUAUUUCUUCUGCAAGAUUCUCAGUUUUAAUUAAUGGUUCUCCUUAAGGUUUUUUCACUUCCUCCAGGGGUUUGAGACAUGGAGAUCCCCUUUCUCCCUUUUUGUUUAUUCUCCUAGUUGAAACCUUUAGUUGGGCUAUUAGUUGAAACCUUUAGUUGGGCUAUUAGGGCUGCUAAAGUUGGGGGGCUUUGGAAAGCUAUAAGGAUUCAAAAUAUUCCCCAAAGUAUUUCUCAUUGUCUCUUUGCAGAUGAUACUAUGUUAUUUGGACAUGCUUCAUUAGUUCAGGCAAAAGUGAUUAAAGGAAUGAUACAAAAUUAUGCAUUGUUUUCUGGUCAAAAAGUGAAUGGUGAUAAAUCAAAGAUUUUCUUCCUUAAUACAUCACAACUGGUUCAGCAUAGGUUGCAAUCCUUUUGGGGAUUUGAGACUGGAAAUAUUCCAUGUACUUACCUUGGGAUUCAUUUCUUUGUUAAACAAGAUAAGAUUAGUUUUUGGGAUAAGAUUAAUUCCGGUCAUUUCUAAAAUAAUUCUCUCAUGGAACCAUAGAUGCUUAACUUUGGCGAGUAAAAUUGUUCUCAUCAAGUCUGUUUUGAAUGUUGUUCCCAUUUAUCUCAUGUUUGUUUUGAAGUCUCCAAAAGCAAUUAUUGUUAGUUUACAGGAUACUCUUAGAGAUUUUCUUUGGAAUAAUAAUAAAGUUGGCAAGAAAAAAUUCCCUUUAGUUGCAUGGGAUAAGGUAUGUUUUCCUAAGGAACUUGGGGGAAUAGGAAUUCAGAGUCUAGAGAAUCAAAAUUUAGCCUUAGGUGCUAAGUUGGUUUCAAAAUUAUAUGACAAGCCUAGCUCCUUAUGGGCACAUAUUAUGUUUGCCAAAUAUUUAAAUAGUGGACCAAAAGAGUACAAUUUUAAAGUCUCAAAUUUGCCUUUGGGUUCUACUAUUUGGAAUUUCCUUUGUAAAUGUAGAUCAAUUAUUUUGCCUCAUCUCUCAUGGAUUGUUCACAAUGGUAGAAAGCUCAGAUUUUGGGAUGAGGUAUGAGACUUGAUAGGCUUGCUAUUACUGUUGUUUUCCUUUGUGUCCUUUGUAACAAAAUUUUGGAAUCUUCUUCACACUUGUUCCUACAUUGUGAUUAUGCUUAUGAAUGUUGGCAGUGGUUCUUUGAGAAGUUAAAUAUAUCCUUUGUUAUUGGUAAGGAUCUCAUUUCCCAUUUUAGUUCUUGGCCCUUUUGUUUGCCUCAUCUUUUUAUGGAUGCCUUUGGAUCAUAUCUCCAUCUAUUGUGAUUUGAAAUAUUUGGCUAGAGCGAAACAAUAGGAUAUUUAAGAAAACAAGUUCUCCUAUGUCUGAGGUUCUAUUAAAAAUUGAGUCUUCAAUCUCUGAGGUUGCUUUGUCGUUUAUUUUUAAGAAUUUGGACAAUCUUACAUCUUUUUCGCACUGGGAUAGUAGAGUUACUAGAGCUUGGAAGAUGUUGUCGGAUUUACCCUCUCAUGGUUCAAUUUUAAAAAAGAAUGAUGCAAUAGGUAAGAGAUGCUCUGCUAUAUGGAAACCUCCUCUGCAGGGGCACUUUAAACUGAAUUUUGAUGGGGCCUCUCGUGGUAACCCUGGGUCGGCUGGGGUAGGCAUGGUAAUUUAUGAUCACAAUGCAAAUUUUAUUCGAGCUAAGUGUCACGCUAUUGGUUUUAAAACUAACAAUUAUGUAGAAUUUCAUGCUUUGUCUUUUAGAUUGGAUAUGGCAAUCUCUUUGGGAAUUAAGGACUUAAUAAUUGAAGGUGAUUCUAUGGUGAUUAUUCAAUGUGUUAUGAAAAAGAAAUCAAAUUGUUGGAAUUUGCAGUAUAUACUUGAUCUAAUUUUAUAAAAAUUGGAAUUGUUUGAAUCUUUCUUGUUAUCCCAUUGUUACAAAGAAGUUAAUAAGAUUGCAGAUUAUUUGGCAAAUUUAGCCAUUGAUAGCAAUGCUAAUCAGCGAGAGGUGGGUUUUGAGGAAAUUCCUUCUAGGGUAUGGGAAGGUUUGCAACAAUAGUUAUGUGAUUUUCUUGAGUAAUGUUGAUGUAAAAUUUAUGAUGAUAAUUAUUCCCACUUUCCCCUUUCAUUUCAAGUAUUCAUGUUCGUUGUCUGGAGGAGAGUUCAAGCUCAUGGUAUUUGAUACAAUAGUGUUUGUCCAAAAGUUUUUUGAUACUUUCUUUUUUGGCAGGAAGGUUUUUGGCUCAUGGGAUUUGGCAUAGGGCUUUGGAAAAUUCUGUCUUCUUCCAUUGAAAGCAACUGUGGAGUCUACAUUUAAAAAUUAUAUGGGCUCUAUGUAAAAUUGAUAUUAUAUGUGUUGUGACCACAAUUGGUAUGUGGUUUUGCACAGGGUGUAUAAACUGAUCUCUUAGAUACUAUAGGUUUGUUUUAUGAGCUAUGACCGGAGGUUUUCUUCCCAGGGUUCUUUCCUUUGGUAUGCUCUUUGAAUCCUGUGUAAAAAAUAAAAAAAAUAUUAAUAAAAAAGUGUAGUGGAAUAAUCCACUUUUAUUGAAAAACAAUAAAAAUGAUAAAUUUGUCAAGAUUACUUCUUGUUUCAA